CAGAUGAAAAAAAAGUCAAAUUAGCAUCUUCAUUUAUUAAUUUGAACGACUUUAAAGUUGCUGAGUUAAUUGAUUCAAGUAGCAAAACAUGGAAAAAUGAGUUGAUAGAGUCUACCUUUCCAGAGGAAGUAGCCGAGAAGAUUCUUCGCAUUCCGUUGGCAGAGGAACCUCAUGAAGAUUUUUGAGCUUGGAAUGGUGAGCCAUCGAGAGAGUACACAGUGGGUAGUGCCUAUAAACUAUUACAAAGUAACGAAGAUGAUCUUAGAGCUUACGCUUUACAAACCGACUAUAAGGAAUUUUAUAAAAAAACUAUGGCUUCUCAAUCUACCUCCAAAAAUAAAAAUUACAGUUUGGAAAAUAUCGUGGAACUAUCUACCCAGACGAGUUAACAUGUUACAAAGGAAGUUAUUGAAUACUACAAUAUACCCCCGGUGUGAAAGUGGAACAUAGAAUCUAGACCAUCUAUUCCGUGAAUGUCCUGUUUCAAUUUUAGUAUGAAAAGAGUUAUCAUGCUAGAUUUUUUUACAAGAAACUCACUAGGGGUUUUUACAGUGGCUAACCUGGUUAUUUUUGCAGAGCUCUCCAUUCUAGUGUAGGAUUCUUUGCUGUGCAUUAUGGGCAAUCUGGGGAGACAGAAACGCUAAAGUGCAUAAGAAGGCUAGUAAAUCUGGAAAAGAAAUAGCGAGUUUCGUUAAAAGUUACAUAUCAGAGCUGAAUGAGAUUGAUAAAAGAAAACCACAAAUCCCUAUUGCUGUUAGAAAGUGAAGGCACCCACCUGACCAGAUUGUGAAGAUUAAUUUUGAUGCAGCAUAUGACGGGAGAAUGGUCAAUCGACAGUGGGGAUAGUGGCUAGAAACAGUGAAGGAAAUGUUCUGUUAUCGUGUUUAGAGAUCCAUCAAAGAGUUGCAUAACUUUCGCUGUUGAAGCACUCGCGUGCCUGAAAGCGACUCAGAUCGGUAUUGAAAUGCAAUGGGAAAAAACCAUCAUUGAAGUAGAUUCGUUAUCAAUAAUAAAAAAGUGUAAAGGGAAAAGCUCAGAUAAAUCUUUGGUAGGUGCUUAUAUCCAUGAUAUUCAUCAGUUACUAUUAAAAACUCGGCAAUGCCGAUUUGAAUAUAUCCCAAGAACAGAAAACAACUUAGCGUAUAUUUUAACAAAUGAAACGUUGAGGAACAAGAAGGAAUCCUACCUGAUAGGAAGCGUUCCAGAAUCUGCAGCGGAGCAAGAGGAAAGGGAUAAGGUGAGAGAACCAAAUUGAAGUUUCGAAGAAGAAAAUAAAAUGGGGGAGUUUGAAAAGGGAUAUGAAUGGAUUUGAUGGAAAACACCCCAUUGGGAAUAUGGAAGCGUCUUAAUGAAGAAAUCUCAGAUGAAGAGACAAGACGGCAACAGAGCAGUUUUUAGAUUGGCA
rnacentral:lncRNA from 1 species